AAAAAAAAAAAAAAAAAAUAUAUGGAAAGGAAAGAAACUUGGGUUGCCUCCCAAGAAACGCUUAUUUAAAAUCUUUAGCUUGACUAUAUUGUUUGCUCAUUUUGGAGUGGGUAAAUCAGUAAAGGAGUGUGUGGCUCCUUUUUCAAUAGGCACUCCAGAGAGGUAUGGCUUAAGGCGUUGUUCAUUGGAUUUGAUUUGCUCUUUAUGAUUUGCUCCAUACUUAUAUUGUGCCAUGAGGGAAGAUUUGCAGAAUCAUGAAAGGUUUAGACCACUUAGAUCUCAAUUUUCCAGGAAAUAAUUUUAACUUGGAGUUGAACAUCAAGAUUAGCUCUUGUUUAAAUUCUCUUUACACUAUGUACUUGUCAUACCCAUUUUUGGUUCGUUCUUUAUAGAUUCUUGCAUUUUCAUAGGUAUCUUGCUUUAUUUCUUCUAACUCACUUAGCUGUAGAAGUCUCUUUUUUCUAGCACUUUCUAGGUCGACAUUCAGUGUUUUUGUUGCACAGUAGGCUAAGUGCUCUAGCUCAAUUGGAAGGUGACAUGAUUUACCAUAGACCAAGCAGAAGGGAGUGGUUUCAAUAGGGGUUUUGAAGGUUGUGCGGUAUGCCCAAAGUGCAUCGUCCAGCUUCAAGGACCAAUCUUUUCUUGAGUGGUUUGUUGUCUUCUCUAAAAUCCUCUUCAAUUUCCUAUUUAAAAUUUCAAUUUGCCCACUAUUUUGUGGGUGGUAAGUGUUGCCACUUUGUGUGUUACUUCAUAUUUCUUUAGUAAUGCUUCGAAUUGGUGAUUACAGAAAUGGCUUACUCCAUCACUAAUUGUUGUGCUUGUAGUGCCGCACUUUGUGAAGAUGAAUUUUUUGAGGAACUUGAUUACUACUAUUGCAUCGUUGGUUGGUGAUGCUAUUGCUUUCACCCACUUGGAGACAUAGUCAACACCAACUAGGAUAUAUUUUUUACCCUAUGAAGAUGGAAAUGGACCCAUGAAGUCUUUUCCCCAUACACCAAGAGUUCUACUUUAAGUAUUCCAUGCAUGGGCUUCUCAUUCCUUUUUGAAAUAUUCCCAGCCUUUUGACACUGACCAUAUGUGAGUUCAAAAUUUCUUACAUCUUAGAAUAAGUUUGGCCAAUAAAACUUGACUGCGUUAUCUUAACAGCUGUUUUUGAAGUGCUGAAGUGUCCUCCAUAGGGUGGGGAAUGGCAAUGUUGCAGAAUGCUUUCAACUUCUUCCCUUAGGAUGCAUCUUCUGGAUAAAUCUGGCGGUAGGACCCGACGUACAAGGUAGUUGACGAUGUCUGUAUACCAUAGAGGUUGAGUUAUUGACAUGAGAUGUUCAUUUGGGAAGGAGUCAUUGAUUGACAUCUAAUCAAGUGGAUCUCCCUUUUUUUCUUGUUUUAGCUUGGAAAGAUGGUUAGCUACUAUAUUCUCGGUUUUCUUUUUAUUUUUUAUUUUCAAGUCAAAACUCCAGUAGGAGAAGAAUUCAGUGGAUUAUUUCUUUCUUGUUCAAGAGAUACUGAAGAGCUGUAUGCUCAGUGUACACUGUGACUUUUGAUCUCACUAAUUAGGAUAUGAAUUUGUCAAUUGCGAAGACAACAGCUAGAAAAACCUUUUCUGCAGUGGCAUAGUUGACCUGUGCAUUAUCAAGUAUUUUGCUGGCAUAGUAGAUGGCAUGAACUUCUCUAUCUUUUCCUCCUGCAUUGUCACUUGCAUCAUACAUUAUUUCGAAUGGGAGCUCCCAAUUUGGGGGUUGCAUGAUA
rnacentral:misc_RNA from 1 species